rnacentral:rRNA from 1 species
GACGGGCCCCGCACAAGCAGCGGAGCGUGUGGUUUGAUUCGAUGUUACACGAAGAACCUUACCAGGGUUUGACAUGCAAGUGGUAGGAAGCCGAAAGGUGACCGACCCUUCGGGGAGCUUGCACAGGUGCUGCAUGGCUGUCGUCAGCUCGUGUCGUGAGAUGUUCGGUUAAGUCCGCUAACGAGCGCAACCCUCGCUGUGUGUUAUAUGUGUCACACGGGACUGCCGGUCUUAAGCCGGAGGAAGGUGGGGAUGAUGUCAAGUCAGCAUGGCCUUUAUAUCCUGGGCUACACACACGCUACAAUGGCCAACACAAUAGGUUGCUAAGCCGCGAGGUGGCGCCAAUCCAUAAAGUUGGUCUCAGUUCAGAUUGUAGGCUGCAACCCGCCUGCAUGAAGAUGGAGUUGCUAGUAACCGCAGGUCAGCUAUACUGCGGUGAAUACGUUCCCGGGGCUU